rnacentral:rRNA from 1 species
UCGGGAAACUGAGGCUAAUAGUUCAUACCCGUCUCCCGCUGGAAUGCCGAGACGUGCAAACGCUCACGCGCUGUAGGACGUGGCUGCGGCCGAUUAGGUAGACGGUGGGGUAACGGCCCACCGUGCCGAUAAUCGGUACGGGUUGUGAGAGCAAGAACCCGGAGACGGAAUCUGAGACAAGAUUCCGGGCCCUACGGGGCGCAGCAGGCGCGAAACCUUUACACUGCACGCAAGUGCGAUAAGGGGACCCCGAGUGCGAGGGCAUACAGUCCUCGCUUUUCAGUACCGUAGGGAGGUACUGGAAUAAGAGCUGGGCAAGACCGGUGCCAGCCGCCGCGGUAAUACCGGCAGCUCGAGUGAUGGCCGAUUUUAUUGGGCCUAAAGCGUUCGUAGCCGGCCACGCAAGUCCAUCGGGAAAUCCGCCAGCCUAACUGGCGGGCGUCCGGUGGAAACUGUGUGGCUCGGGACCGGAAGACCCGAAGGGUACGUCUUGGGUAGGAGUGAAAUCCUGUAAUCCUGGACGGACCGCCGAUGGCGAAAGCACUUCGGGAAGACGGAUCCGACGGUGAGGAACGAAAGCCAGGGUCUCGAACCGGAUUAGAUACCCGGGUAGUCCUGGCCGUAAACGAUGUCUGCUAGGUGUGACUCCCACUACGAGUGGGUGUUGUGCCGUAGGGAAGCCGCUAAGCAGACCGCCUGGGAAGUACGUCCGCAAGGAUGAAACUUAAAGGAAUUGGCGGGGGAGCACUACAACCGGAGGAGCCUGCGGUUUAAUUGGACUCAACGCCGGACAUCUCACCAGCAUCGACAACAGCAAUGACGGUCAGGUUGAUGACCUUGCCAGAGCUGUUGAGAGGAGGUGCAUGGCCGCCGUCAGCUCGUACCGUGAGGCGUCCUGUUAAGUCAGGCAACGAGCGAGACCCGCACUCCUAAUUGCCAGCACCGGCUUCGGCCGGGUGGGUACAUUAGGAGGACUGCCGUGGCCAACACGGAGGAAGGAACGGGCAACGGUAGGUCAGUAUGCCCCGAAUGUGCUGGGCUACACGCGGGCUACAAUGGCCAAGACAAUGGGUUCCAACCUCGAAAGAGGACGGUAAUCUCCUAAACUUGGUCGUAGUUCGGAUUGAGGGCUGAAACCCGCCCUCAUGAAGCUGGAUUCGGUAGUAA